UUUAUUAUUUACUAGACAAGUAGAACACAGAGCUGGUGGGAAGCUCUGGUAUAGCCUCACUUUUUAAAUCAGCUGACAGAAAGAGGUACUUUUAAAUGGCGAAUGCUCUCAGAUAUCUGGGCAAACAGCGGUCCCUUCGCGACCACUGGCUUGCCGCGCCUUUGCUCUCGGACGCCCCCGCCCCCUGCCGCAAGUGCGCGUGGCUGUGGCAUGACAGCGCUGGCGGGACCCCGGUGUGCCCUGACUCGUCCGCUGUCCACCCACGCCACCCCGCUUUAAACAGCUGGUGCUUCCACUUCCCUGUUCUGUGUAGCAGGGAGAACAUGUCGCAACACAUUUUUUUUUUUUUAAAUCAUUGAAGCAUGAAAACUUGAGCGAAUCUGGUGGCUGCAUCGCUAUAUCGCUCGGAUAUUCAUGGCUCUCCGAGGCAGAACGUCGCACGGAGCAGACGAAGGGGAAGAGCCGCUGGAAGAGAGAGGACGCGGCCGGGACAAGGAUUCGGUCACCGCGAAACGACGGACGACUUGGUAAAAACAACAAACGAACAAACCAACCCGGAACGAACACAACAGCUUGUAUUCCUUCUUGGUUUUUUCCUCCCUGUCCUUGUCCGGCGGGGAAGGAGCCGGGCGGCCGGAGGCUUCGCCUCGGGCUGAGACGGCGUCGCGGAAGCGUCGCUUCCAGGCGAUGGAGGGAGGAAGGGGGGUUAGAUCCAGCAGCUGCUGAUGGAAAUGUGAAUUCCUACAGCGAACCUAAGAGUGAUAACAGUUAUGACUACUUAUCUGUGGAAGAGAAAGAGUNNNNNNNNNNNNNNNNNNNNNNNNNNNNNNNNNNNNNNNNNNNNNNGGCUCGCUGGAUGCAGAAGCAGACAGCGGCGUCUCUACCGAUGAGACUGACUCUGCUGAGCCUGCCAAGCUGCCAAGGACGUGGCCCAAGAGAGACUCUGGUCCCAGGGAUUUGGAAAAGGGGGCUCCCGCGCAAAGCACAGGCCAGCAGCGUGCAACCGAACAAAAAAGCGAACAAAAAGCGAGCGCCUUCUCCAGCUCUGCUCCGGCAGCGUUUUCAAGUCCGGGCUAUUACAGUCUUCCAAGGAAUAUCGCUGCAGCGAACGCGCAAAGAGCAAACAAAGCUUCUGACAGCAAAGCAACUGCCCACGCCAUGGGGGACCCAGUGCCAAAAGAGAAACCUUGGCAGGAGACGGCCAGGGAGGAAAGGCUGGAUCAAGCCAGCGCAAGAUCCCAGGCGAAGCCGCUGGGCUCGAUAAUUAUCCAACCUCCCGAAGCUUUCCAGGAGGCCGUGGCGGCGCGCGGGGGGCUCUUGCUCAGCAGGGGCUCGGAUGGCAGCAGGGGGAAGGCAGAGCCCGAGAGCCGGGCUGCGGCGCCAGACCCCGGCCCGGAGAGGGAAGGCGCAGCUCUCGCCCGAGGCCUGAUGGAGAAACCAGCCUUAGAGGAGGAUUCGGACGCCAAGCGUGGGCCUCCCACCGCCCCCAAGCCGAGGAAGCUGCCGCCCAAAAACACCAUCUCAGCCGUCUGCCACCUUCCCGGCCAGCUGUGCCACCGCCGAAAAGCCGAACCCAGGGCACCUGGACCCUAAGGAGAGGGAGAAGGCUCGCCGGGAGGCGUUAGAGAAGCUCGGGCUCCCUCAGGAUAAAAGGGAGCCCAAUAUCCCCCUUAAAGCUGUUACUUCGCCCAAACCAAAAGAGGCGCCUGGAGCUGCGAGGAGGGACAACGGCACCAGUGAGGACGCGGCUGCCAUCACGGCUGCCGGAAGCCCGAAGAGGAGCACCAGGUGCUCCGCGGCCCAACAGAGAGGGUCGCCCCGGGCGCGAGACAGGUCAGCUUCAAGUCCAACACCCUGGAGCGCUCCGGCGUGGGGCUCAGCAGCUACAUCUCCAGCAAGGACCAGAGCGUUAAGAGCAGCAGCUCGCUCGGCAAGAUGUCCUUCAUCGAGAGGAUAGCGCCAAGCUUCCUCCGGAGCAGCCGCCCUCGCCCGGCCUCCCUCGGGACGGGGAAAGACUUUGCCAGCCUCAAGGAGCCCAACAACGCGGAGCUGGAGAAAAGCAGCAAGCGGAGAUCCCACCCGCUGCCGAGCUUCUCCAAGCCGGCCCGCUCCUCCUGCGUCAGCGUCAAGAUCUCCCCCAAGGGCGCCACCGAAGAGCACAGGCGAGAGGCUCUCAAGAAGCUCGGCCUGCUGAAGGAGUAGCUCCCGCUCGGCGCCCUGGAGCGAAGCGUGAGGCCAUGGUAGCAGAGCCUGUCGCCCCGAUCCCGGCCCCUCGGCCACCUUUCUUCCUGCGGACAACUACGAGCGUCCCCGGCUGACGGGAUCCCUUGCCCCUAGCCUCUCGGGGGGGACGGACCUGAGCUGAUGCUGCCACCAGAGGUGUUCAGAGCUUCUUGCCAAAUAAAGUCACAUCACACGUACA
ensembl:lncRNA chromosome unknown open reading frame, human C1orf116